rfam:Gossypium raimondii Chr10_contig_23, whole genome shotgun sequence.
UGUUAAAAAUUCUAUCUAUUUGUAUUGUUAAAAACUGGUAUGACAAACAGAAUAGCUAGGUAGUAAAACGUGGCACGCCACGUAUACCUUAUGCUAAUGUAUAAGAUCAGUUUUUAACAGUAAGAAUGGAUGAAUUUUUUAACA